UACGGAGGGGCUAGCGUUGUUCGGAAUUACUGGGCGUAAAGCGCACGUAGGCGGCUUUGUAAGUUAGAGGUGAAAGCCCGGGGCUCAACCCCGGAAUUGCCUUUAAGACUGCAUCGCUUGAAUCCGGGAGAGGUGAGUGGAAUUCCGAGUGUAGAGGUGAAAUUCGUAGAUAUUCGGAAGAACACCAGUGGCGAAGGCGGCUCACUGGACCGGUAUUGACGCUGGAGGU
rnacentral:rRNA from 1 species